rnacentral:misc_RNA from 1 species
ACUUGGGUAUUUGUAAUCGCGUCAUAAAAAAAUAUUUGAUUGUCUAAAUUAAUUGUUUUGGCCGUUUGUUGAUUGAUGAAAUGAUUUCUUUUGGGUUGCUCUGAAAUGAUUUGGUUUUGAAUUAUAAAUAUUUAGGUACUGUGUGUAAUAAAGCAUAUUCUGC